UACGUAGGGCGCAAGCGUUGUCCGGAAUUAUUGGGCGGAAAGAGCUCGUAGGCGGUUUGUCGCGUCUGCUGUGAAAACCUGAGGCUCAACCUCGGGCUUGCAGUGGGUACGGGCAGACUAGAGUGCGGUAGGGGUGACUGGAAUUCCUGGUGUAGCGGUGGAAUGCGCAGAUAUCAGGAGGAACACCGAUGGCGAAGGCAGGUCACUGGGCCGCAACUGACGCUGAGGAGCGAAAGCAUGGGGAGCGAACAGG
rnacentral:rRNA from 1 species